rnacentral:rRNA from 1 species
GACGAACGCUGGCGGCGUGCUUAAUACAUGCAAGUCGAACGGAAAGGCCCUGCUUUUGUUGUUUGCUCGUGUGUCGAAAGGGUGUGUAUCACGUGAGUAUCCCGCCCUUUACUUUGGGAUAACUUCAUUAAACUCGGUCUAAUACCGGAUAUGAGCUCCUGCUGCAUGUUUGGGUUUGUAAAGUUUCGGCGGUUGGGCAUUGCCUCGGGGCUUAUCAGUUUGUUGGUGGGUUAGUGGCUUACCAAGGCAUUGACGGGUAGCCGGCCUGGGAGGGUGACCGGCCAAAAUGGGAAUGAGAGACGGCAGAGAGUACUACGGGAGGAAGGAGGGGGGAAUAUUGCACAAAGGGCGGAAGACUGAUGAAGGAACGCCGAGUGCGGGAUGACGGCGUAAGGGUUGUAAAACGGUUUCGCUUGAAACGAAGCGUGGGUGACGGUAAUGGGUAAAGAAGCACCGGCUAACUACGU